AACGAACGCUGGCGGCAGGCCUAACACAUGCAAGUCGAGCGCACCUUCGGGUGAGCGGCGGACGGGUUAGUAACGCGUGGGAACGUACCCUUUUCUACGGAAUAGCCUUUGGAAACGAAGAGUAAUACCGUAUACGCCCUUUGGGGGAAAGAUUUAUCGGAGAAGGAUCGGCCCGCGUUAGAUUAGAUAGUUGGUGGGGUAACGGCUUACCAAGUCUACGAUCUAUAGCUGGUUUUAGAGGAUGAUCAGCAACACUGGGACUGAGACACGGCCCAGACUCCUACGGGAGGCAGCAGUGGGGAAUCUUAGACAAUGGGCGCAAGCCUGAUCUAGCCAUGCCGCGUGAGUGAUGAAGGCCUUAGGGUCGUAAAGCUCUUUCGCCUGUGAUGAUAAUGACAGUAGCAGGUAAAGAAACCCCGGCUAACUCCGUGCCAGCAGCCGCGGUAAUACGGAGGGGGUUAGCGUUGUUCGGAAUUACUGGGCGUAAAGCGCACGUAGGCGGAUUGGAAAGUUGGGGGUGAAAUCCCGGGGCUCAACCCCGGAACUGCCUCCAAAACUAUCAGUCUAGAGUUCGAGAGAGGUGAGUGGAAUUCCAAGUGUAGAGGUGAAAUUCGUAGAUAUUUGGAGGAACACCAGUGGCGAAGGCGGCUCUACUGGCUCGAUACUGAC
rnacentral:rRNA from 1 species